rnacentral:tRNA from 1 species
AAGGUUUUAAGUUAAGUAAACUAAUAUCCUUCAAAGCUAUAAAUAAAGAAGAAUUCUUUAAGCCUUA